rnacentral:rRNA from 1 species
UAAUACCGGAUAUUAUGAGAUUCUCGCAUGGGAAACUUAUGAAAGCUAUAUGCGCCAAGAGAGAGCCUUGCGUUCCAUUAGCUAGUUGGUGGGGUAACGGCCCACCAAGGCGACGAUGGAUAGCCGGCCUGAGAGGGUGAACGGCCACAAGGGGACUGAGACACGGCCCUUACUCCUACGGGAGGCAGCAGUGGGGAAUAUUGGACAAUGGGCCACAAGCCUGAUCCAGCAAUUCUGUGUGCACGAUGAAGGUCUUCGGAUUGUAAAGUGCUUUCAGUUGGGAAGAAGAAAGUGACGGUACCAACAGAAGAAGCGACGGCUAAAUACGUGCCAGCAGCCGCGGUAAUACGUAUGUCGCAAGCGUUAUCCGGAUUUAUUGGGCGUAAAGCGCGUCUAGGCGGAAAAAUAAGUCUGAUGUUAAAAUGCGGGGCUCAACUCCGUAUUGCGUUGGAAACUGUUUUUCUAGAGUACUGGAGAGGUGGGCGGAACUACAAGUGUAGAGGUGAAAUUCGUAGAUAUUUGUAGGAAUGCCGAUGGAGAAGUCAGCUCACUGGACAGAUACUGACGCUAAAGCGCGAAAGCGUGGGGAGCAAACAGG